UCUUCUUUUCUAACUUCUCCUCUUACCCUUCAGUCGGUUCCCUCCGUCUCUUUGUGACUCUGUCUCACCAUUGUAACACAGGCCACAGCACAAUCUCAUUCUGUUCUCCUUGUUGGUGGCAACACAGUGGGAUAUAUCCACACAAAUUACACACAUAAAACUCGUAAAGCCUGGAAAAUAUUUUAAUAGUUUCCGCACCCCCUUAGUGGCAACAAGCUGCAUGUGCAGAGCUGGUGAGCACCACCAACAUUAUUGGUGCAAUUAAAUGUGAAGCACGAGUGAGGAACAUGGGGGAGUGGGAGCCCAAAAUGGCUGUAAACAAGGAAAAUGACACUUGACAAGUUGUAAUUUAUGGACGUCGUUUCAAAGGGAAGAGACUCACCGUUCCUACACUGGCAGAGUAGGGAAGAAUAAGGCACAAGGAUCCAGGCAUUAGAGAAACUAUUCACAGAAUGUUAGUGCAUCAAAGCCACACAGAGACAAAAAAGGGGAAAGAGAAAGCUGUGACUUCAAAGUCAAGGCAUGAUGAGCAAUGCAGGGAGAGAGGGAAACCGAGAGAGAGACAGGAAGUGUGUGUAUAUGUGUGUCAGAGGGAGGGAGAGAGAGAGAGAGAGAGAGAGAGAGAGAGAGAGAGAGAGAGAGAGAGCUUUGCAGGAUGAUAGCACCCAAAGCAAGCACAGGAUGGGGGAAUGAGGUGGGGGGAGGCCCCUGGAUACAGACGUACUCUCCUCAUCUCAAAGAAUCCUAAAUCAUACACUCACACACUCACAGGCUGUCUGGGGAGGAGACGCCAUUAAACAGAAUAGAAAAGGACUUAAGCUCUCAUACUCCAACCCCAUCUAGAAACAAAUCAGCGUCACCAUUUACGUGUUUACUAUUUUCCCAAAAUGAGAACAAAACUGAACCAAAACAGUCACUGAAAAUAGGCUUGCUACAAAAACUGAAGAUGCUCUCAUGCUUGAUGAAAACGUCCAAUGUAUCCUUCAACAACAGCAGUCAAAGUCAGAUGUGUAUUGUGAUAGUUAGACUUGUGUGUAUGUGUGUUUACUAAUAAAUGCAAAUAUACUACCUGAACAAAGUCAAUAUGCCUACUAUUCCUCUAGCUUAGAGGAUCAUAUAAGUUGUUUGUGGCUACCCUCUAAUACAAUCCAUAGGCAUAUACUGAUGGCACAGUUGAAUAAUGAAUGAUUAACCCUUUUAUGAUGUGACUUGUGUUGUUUGUUGUGAAUGUUUGUUCAGGUUUGGGCAUAUCAUGGUUUGGGUUCAACUUUAACGUUAAACUUUAGUAUCAGUUUCACUAAGGUUGCAGAGUCUUUGUUGUCAUCAUUUCAUUAAAAUGAUAAACAUGGAGUUUCAGGUUAUGGAAUUAAAUUACAGAUUUAGUUUUAUUACCAUUGCACACGUGCUAAGACAGCAAAAUGCAAUUUAGCAUCUAAGCAGAAGCAGAAAAAAGACAGUAAAGCGUAUUAUAAGCAGUAUGAGUAUAUACAUAUUACAGUAUUAACAGAAUGGACAAUAAAUGUUGAUUUUAAAUGGAAAUCAAUGGUAAAUUGUACAUUCCACAAGCUUUGCCUUUUUUCCCAGCAACAUUUUCCAACAUGUACUGAGACUGUUGUGUAACCCCACACUGCGCACUUGCCCAGAUGUCACUCUGUACAGUACGGAAGUGUGGGUUCCUGGUCUUCUUCUAGUCAUCUAGCGUACAUUGUUAAAGUCACAUGUAUUGCUGACCCAUCCAUCCACCCCGACCCACUCACUACUGUGGACUUUUGACAUCAUGUCCCUUGCUCGCUUGGUCCCAUCAUAUUUAAUGUGACCACCAGAAGCCCUUGUCAUGUAAGUAAACAGGUGAUGCUUAACAAUAAAACAUAAUGAUUUGUGGUAAUAAACUGUGUGCAUAUGCAAUGUAUAGAGUUUUGUUUUAAGGGAAGACUGUCUCCAACAUACAGAAUACCAGUGUACGUUGUUGCUAAAUUUGUGCCAACAUGGUGUUUUGAAACGUCUGGUUAAUAUUUUUGUAUUAUAAAUGAUGUUAUAAGAACAUUCCAGGACAUUCUGAUGUUUAUUCAGUGUUAAAUCUGAAUCAGUGAGCCCCCCAUUUAAACUUUUGCAUGACAAAAAGGUUUCUUAGAAUUCAUCUUAAAGUAAGAUGCCAUUUUUAACCAUUUAAUGAUGAUUAGAGUCCUUUUUCUGCACAGCACCCAAGCCCACUAUUCAACAGCUCGUCAUUUUCUUAUCUGCUUUUCAAGAAUUACAUUCAAAACCAAACGAAUAAAAGGAUCUAAUGCAUGCAGAGCGCAGUAAGAUUAUUCUUCAAAGUUGGACCUGCCAAAGGCAUUGAACAGUAAAAUUGUUUAAUUUUAGAAAACUGCAGUCACUUUACUUAAAAGAGCUGCCUGUCUCAUAUGUGAGUCAUUUGUUUGCACAGAAUUCCACACUGGACUAAAGGAAGCAAAGGAGAUUAACGAAAAUCUGAGAGUCUUCACAGCAGAAAUGGAAGACCCUUUGCCACAUAAAUACAGAAGUUAAAUUUGCAGUGUUGAUAUCCUGUAAUUUUCAAAAUGACAAAAUGCUUGUCUGAUGCACUAAGCACCUCCAAUUGCAGCUCAUUAACUCAGUCAGGGGGAAGCAUUCUACAAGCAUGGAGAGAAACUAUUAAAAUACUUCCAUUAACUGGAAGAAUAAAUAUCCUGGUUGCAGCCCAAAAGUGUCUUCAUUUAGGCUCAAAUGUGAGAUAUGCCGUUGCUAUGGUAAUAUGGCGAUGGCUGUAGCCCUCCUCCCAGCUGUUGGUGGGUUUUGUGUGUGAGGGAGCGAGAGUAAAAGAAAGAGGGAGACUGUGUGACUGUGUGUUUGUGUGCGUGCACACAUGCAUUGAUGCUGCCUCCGUGCUGUGUUCCCCCUUUCAGUCUUCAGAAUAGUGUCUCUACUAAUCCGUGAAAGUUGCGGCGCUCUGAACCAGUGGCCAAUCCUUUUCCCACUGAACCAAGGCCCAGGGUCUGCGCUCUGCUUCACACUUGAUUGGUCCCUCCUGUGGCAGAACUCCCCUCCCUGCUGGGCGUGGGCCCGUCCCCCUCGCUGGGCUGCUCAGCGCUGCCUAAUCGCCUUCUCCCCACCAUAAUUACCAGCGCUGAGCCCAGGACUCACCAACACACACAAUUAAAGUCUGGCCAGCCCAUCCUCACCAGCCCUCACACAUCCAGCACUUAGCACCGGCCCAGAGACAGGCCUAAGACCAGGCCCAACUCCACCAACAGAGCACCUGUUCAUGCCUGGGAUGCCCCGCAGCACUGUGGACUUGGCUGGUGCUGCUGGUGGGUAGGAUAAAGAGAGGGAGUUGGCAGCUGUGCUGUUGUCCUCCUCCCCCUGCAGUGGAGGUGAUGUGUUUAUUUGGGCUGGGAUGCUGCAGUGAGAAGCUGUGAGAGGUAACUAUCUCCUUGUUGUGCUGUAUAGAGUACCAGAGAAUCCACCCUGCAGAGUCAGAGCCCUUUGAUAUGUGACCACUUCAAACCAACACAUACAAUGGAAGCAGUCAGUUGUGGAAAUAGCCCAAGUUGAUGUUGUGUGGGCAAGGUGAGACAAAUUUGCUUUGCUCAGAACCAACCCUGUACUUCAUUUUUCUCCUCUGUGUAUUUUGAGCAAAGCAAAUACAACACUUAUUGUAAAUCCCAAACAUUGACAAUCCUGCAAUGUGUGUAAAAUCAGAAAUGGAAAUACUCCCACUUUCAAUUUGGUUGUGCCCACAAGGUUCCUAAAUUUCAGACUAUUGCACCAUUGGUGAGAGCAUAUGGGACUGGGCAGGUGAAACGCAGUGACCUGGCAAACAGUCCAAAGACAGAUGAGAGUCGGGUACACGUCAGAAGGCACUGGGUGUGCUGGCACAAGCAGUACCCAGAAUGUGGAUCAGACAGACACCCAGCACUCGUUAGCUUAUUACUCUCUUAUUAGGAACAUUUUUGCCUUGCAUGGAUUGGCAGAGUCCUGCUAGCCACCCUCUUCACAUGGCCCAGGCUCUGUCAGAGCUGAUCAAAAGACAUUUCUUCACAUCUCCAGACGCCAGGGAAAAAAAGAGAAGAAAAGAGGGAGAGAAGAAAAGAGCCAGAAGGGGGCAUACUGCUCUCUCUUUACUCUGGUCUUUUAGUGAAUGAGGACUUUUCACAAUACCUUCUCCUUUUUCUUUUUUUUUUAUUUUCCACUGGCAAAAGAGAGAGAGAGAAAGAGAGAGAGAGAGAAAGAAAAAACAGCAUUUCCCAUCGCGUUUCGCCAAAUUGUUCUUGCCAUAUCAAAAACAAUUAUCCUCAGGUGAAGAAUGCGCCUGCAGAAUUACAACCAUUCCAGAGGGAGAAAGAGGUCUUCACAAAUCUGACUGGCUUCCAGGCAGCCAAGACCCCCUCGAAGUGGUAAUGAAAAGUGUAACUUUAGCCUCCCAGCUGUACGUCUCAAUCCAUAAUCCUUCCCCAAAAACCUCACCGUAGAGCCGCCUACCACUCCCAUGGUGUUCCCAGCCUGUGCCGGGCUGGGCCUGCACUGAUUUAUGUGGCAGUCCUGUGUCAUACUCUCAACCUGAAAAGGAUUUGCUCUCCUAUAUUUACCAGGGUGGUAAGGGCAGCCCUCUGGAAACACAGAAAGCCCAGACUCCGGGCCUCACUCCCAGACAGUCGUUUCACAACUCUGUGCCAAUAACGUGGACAUUUUGGACCUUACCAGAAUCAGAUGAGGCUCCAGUGUUUCCAUAGCGGGGUGUUUUAGCAGUGCAGAGGUCACAGUCGACGCACUCGCGCCUACGCAGCCACAUGGCCACGUUUUGGUAUGCAGAUACACAGACACAGGCUGAAGGAGAUCUCAGGGAGGAGCUGUGCCGGCUCCAUGUCCUUAACCUGUUUGCAGAAGGGCAACGGAGGGUGGAGAGAAGGGAAAGGCAACAUACCCUUCGUCCGAAAUGGAACACCAGGUGGCAGGAAGUGGGCAGGAGGCCUUUGAAGCUGACCCCUGGUCUCCGCGUUGGGAUGGCCUCGGCAAUCGAUUCAGCCAGAGAUGGCAGGGAGGGGAGCCAGGUGCCCCCAGAGGGUCUUCAGACCACGCAGAUCUAUUAUGGGCGAGGAGGAGAGAGUCGGCUGGGGCCCAGCCCCACUGCUCCCAGUCAUAUCACUGUGGAGACAGCCAGAGUCAACUGGCUGCAUCCUAACAAGCAGGCAAACACUGAGAACAGUCUGGUGCACAACAAACUCAACAGGCUCAGCCUCCAUACUGUAAGCUUUAGGAAGGGCUUCCACUGCAGACUGCUGUCAUAUCUGUAUAUAAAACAUUGCAUAACACUGAAUAAUUGGUGUGAGCCCAUACAUGCUAGCAUGCUACGUCUGACAAAUUGAACGCAUGGAGGUCAGUGAAGAGCAUUUGAAAAGGAAAGAAUGAGACACACAGAAAUGAGCUUGUUCCGUAUAUUAAUAUAUUUAUUUUCUUACAGAAUACAACCACAGAUUGCAGUUGAGUGACUUGAGAAACUGUGGUGCAGAAGUUGUGGGCUGAAAUGAUAAAUCAACAAGAAAAACAAGAUUCAAUAAUACCACAUAACAGAAAGAGCGAGGAAUCAUCAAAAAAGGGACACGAACAAAAAGAAAGCACAAAAGCAGAAAAUUAAAUCAGCAGAUGUUUGUGUGCAAGCGUGCACACGUGAUUGUGGCGAGCUGCUAAGUGAUCUGGUAAAUUGCCAACAUUACACUGAAUUUGUCAGAAAGAAAAUAUCAGCAAAUACUGAACAGCCAUUGUAUGUUUUGGGAUAGUUUUGCCAGUUAACGCUAACGCAAAAACAUCCAGUGAUAAUGCUGUAACAAUUCAGGAAUCAGUAGGUAGAUCUGCACGUCUAUGAAUCAGGCUUCCCAUUCACAGUGUUCAUCUAGGGCAGCUCCAGAAAUGCGCAGGCUGCUUUGUAUUUUGGCCAGCUUUGGAGGAGGUGAGUGCUAUCAGUGUCUACAUGCUCAUCCCUCUGUAUUUCUGUGUUUACUGCUCACAACAUGUAAGCAAACACACAUGUGCACACACAAUUAAACUCACAAACAGAAACUCAAAUCCUGAUCCCCCACCCUCUCCAUGCUUCCCUCCCCGGGCAAGGAAAUGAAAGCUGGGCACUGGGAGAAGGAUGGCUGGAAGAAAUGAAGACGUGUCUGAUUUCCUCAGCAACCAAUGAUGCUGCAGCGCUCUGUACUCUCUGCCCUCUGAUAGGUCUUUGUCACUCUCUUCAUCUUGAGGCCCAUGUCAUUCCCUCUAAUCCCCCUCCCAAACACAAACAGGCCAAUCCUGAGACAAGACUCAGGGGCUGGGGAGGGAUGAAGCAGCACUGGAAAGAGUGAGGGAUGUAGCUCAGGAGGAGAGAAAGGGAGCACCAGAAGCUGAUGGUGGUGUGAGAAGGAGCCAAUGUGUUAUUAUUAAUAAAGCAUUAAAAAAGUGAGCACAUCAAAGCAUACAGGGGCUAUGCUAUCAUACAUGAAAGUAACGCACUAUGGCUUAAUGUUUCCUAAGGCAUGUUAUGGUGACGCGGCUUUGAUUUGAAAUGCAUUGUGUGGAAAAUGGAUUUACAGGAGUGGGGAGAGAAAGCCUGGUGUGGGAUCAGACCAUAAUUUAAAACCUGACCUCAUAUGCUCUUCAAAGUGUCUGCGAGCGUGGAUAUUUAGGACGUCCUUACAGUAUGUGUGAGAGACCCAAAGCACAACAACAUAAACAACAAACGACACACACAUGCAUGUAAGGGAUGCGGAGAACACCUGCAAAAACAAAGAAUGAGAAGUUACUGUUAAAUCCAACAUGUACCAUUUCACGUUUUGAUUAUCAAAGAUGAUUGGAAGUAAUUUGUCUUUAUUCUCUCCUUUUUGAGCGCACAGGGGUCGCACCUGAUUGUACCGUGCUCCUUCACCAAUCAAAGCCUGCAGGAAGUGAGGCAUUUUUUUUCUCCAUUGAGCCCCCAUGGCCAGGUAAUUAUCCUAAUCUACCUUCCCUCUGUGCUCCAGCUCCUGUGCCACACUAACUCAGACCACCUCUGUGGCUUCAUUAUCAGGGCUGGGACUCACUAAUGGCUUGGCGGCCUCACUGUGCAGGCUGCUGGCGAAGAGAAACCAGGGUGAAAAGGAAGAAGAAGAAGAAGAAGCAGGAGGAGGAGAACGGGGAAGAGAGGGAGGAAAAAUGAGUCGCUAAAGAGCAAGGGGUUGCCCUGAAGGUUAACAUCUCAAUCAUGAGGGACAAUGCUCUGUAGUCAAAUGGUUUCGGCUUCUUGAAAGUCAAGAUGAAGCCACAGGGCACAACAGUGUCAAAGAGGCAGCCAGGAGAUGGGCUCUCUGCACCGCAGGAUGACCAGGACAUGUGUGUUUGAGGUGGCAGGUUGCUGUGUUUACGUGUGCACGCCACACACACCCCCACCUUGCGUGUUUGAAACAGCUAUAACCUCACAACAUACAGAAGGACUGGGGGUGGGAUAUCAGUUUCAGUUUAUUUUUUCUGACAAAUGACACUCUGACAGUUGGAAAAAAUGUUGGGGUCCCUGAACAGAUUUCCCAGUUACAAAAAUAAAAUGUGUUGGAUCAGACAAAGACAGACAUUUUACAUUCUACUUUUGAACCCCAAUGAGAGCACUGGCAAAUGCCACCCCACCCCCACGCCGUCUGUGCCAUGAUUGUUGUUUCUCUCCAGAAAUGUCAUAUAGUUAAGAGGUGAUAAUUCUAUAUGGCGCAAACAGACACUGACUUCUUCCAAGUGUACAUAGCAUAUAGGCUGACAGAUUGAGAUGGUGUAACAUGUCUUUGCAUCACUCUAAAUAGGCAUGCGAGCUUUAAACAUUCUGUAUAUACUCUGAGUUUCCAUUGGAAACCUUCUGAAAUGGAAAAAAACAACCCAAAUGCAUUGCACUAGAGGUGAAAAAAAAAUGUUCAGAGGUUAAAAAUAGCGCAGACCUCAGUGAUACGUGAAAAACUGUAGUACUCUUAUGUCUGUGCAGGUGUAGCCUACAUUCCAGAAAACUCCCGAAAUGCAGAAAACUGCAUUGAUACACAUCGUACUGAAUCCCCCGAGGGUUGAUGUUAACGCGGAGCCUGCAGUGCAACAGAUCCUAUGUUAAAUGCACAUUUAAAGAAACGCUGAUGUCAAUUUCUAUAAAUGUUAAGAUGCAUUUUUUUGCUUCCAACAGUUUAAUGAGAAACUUUUGUCAGAUUUAUGUCACGUCAACACUUGACUUUAGCGCGUUUCAGAGUCCUUACGUUUUAAGUCAGGUUAAACAUGAAAUGCAAAACUUAAUUGUAGCUGCUGCUUUGGUGAUUUACUCUGUUAUUAUGAAGAAUUGUACGUACGCGAGUGUAGGUGGCUUUUUACCACUCAAAUAAGACACACUCUUCGGAAACACCUCCACAUUGAAACAUCCUCUUUCACAGACGAAAAUGAAGCUAUGCUCUUUUGCAGACUGGUAGUAGUGUGACUGGAGCCAAAUGAUCUGCAAAUGAGGAGAAACGUUUAAGUAGCUCAGGGGACUGCAGAAAGUCAACCAUGAAACACGUGGUUCUUCCAAAGCAGGGUAAAAAUUAAUACUGGUGCUCAAAAAUACCUAAAAAUUGAAAUAUAACUGGAAAAUAGAAGGUCAAAAUACAGUGAGUGGAUUUGAGUGAAUGGGUCAGUGCAACUAAAUUACUUUAUUAUCUUCUCACUAACAUAAAUCUGAACAUACAGAGAGUUGGGGUUUUGUUAUUCAGUAUUUAGAUAUUUCUGUCUCCACCACUACACAAGUUCUUUCGCUUAAAUAUUCACUGAGAGGUCUGUUCAAGAACCAGUGUAACAAGAACAUAAUUUCUGUUCAACGAUUUGGGUGAAAGGACUGUUUAAAGCUCAAGUAGGCUCUUUUCCCAUAAUAACCUGUCAGGAUAUUGGAACUCAAGUAGUCUCAGAGAGAAUUAUGAGCUUCCUCUUUGUUAUUUCGAAAAUCUAACCUGAAAUGUAAAUCACAGGGCGUUUUAUGCAGAUCAUUUGAGAAAGAAUAAAGAGCAACAAGUCUCCAGUGGAAAAAGGAGGUGUGGUGCAAUGGGACAAACAGAGGGAUCAAAACCUGAUACAAGCUAAAGGUGAAUAUAAGGCCCACUACUUUUGGGUAUUUCGAGCUAACCAGGGCUGCUUGUUAUUUCGUUGUUGUUUUUUGUUGAUCAGAGCUUUCCAGAUUACUGCCAACUGCAGCUUUAAGACAUGGUUUGCAUGAUGGCAGCAAGAACUCAAGAAGUAACGUAACCUGGAUGAAGAACUUGCCCGAAUCACUUCACAUUAAAAGUAACAUCAACAUAAAUUAAAAUGAUGGUAAGAAAGUGUAUUAAACGGUAGAAGAGGCAUUAAAAUUAGUGUAAAUCA